GGCCGGGUAGCGGCAGCCAUAAAAUACCCGCAAGGGGAAAGCUGCCGGCCGUCUGAUAGCGGUGUUCAACUGCCCGGCCGCCCUCUG
rnacentral:ncRNA from 1 species